rnacentral:rRNA from 1 species
GCACAUGAGCUGCCUGCCUCCUAUCAGCUUGUUGGUGAUGUAAAGCUCACCAAUUGCACGACUGGUAGCGGGACUGAGAGGUUACCCUGCCACAUCGUGACUGAUACACUGNCCUGGACCCCCAGGUGGUUCUUCNUUAUCGAAUCUUCCGCGAUGGGCGAAAUGCCUGAUUANCGACGCCGCGUGCGUGAAGAAGUCCUUCGUGAUGUAAACCGCUGUCAGUGACAAGAAACUCCCGGUUCGCCGUGAUUGAUCACCCCUGAUGAAGUCACGGCUAGCUUCGUGCCAGCAGCCGCGGUAAGACGAAUGUGGCUAGCGUUGUUCGGUAUCACUCGGCUUAAACGGUAUGUAGGCGGAAUGGAAAGCGUCGUGUGAAAGCCCUCGGCUUAACCGAGGAAUUGCUCGGCGAACUGCCAUUCUUGAGGCAAACAGGGGUGCGCGGAACUCUUGGUGGAGCGGUGGAAUGCGUAGAUAUCAAGAGGAACGCCGGUGGCGAAAGCGGCGCACUAGGUUUGCACUGACGCUGAAGUACGAAAGCGUGGGGAGCGAACGGGAUUAGAUACCCCGGUAGUCCACGCCGUAAACGAUGUGUACUAGGCUGUGGUAGUUCUGACACUUUCACGGCCGAAGCAAAAGCGUUAAGUACACCGCCUGGGGACUACGGUCGCAAGGCUAAAACUCAAAGGAAUUGACGGGGGCUCACACAAGCGGUGGAGCAUGUGGAUUAAUUCGAAGCGACGCGCAGAACCUUACCUGGGUUUGACAUGCAUGUAUGGCUUCCUGGAAACAGGAUAGUCUGCCCUUCGGGGUGAACUUGCACAGGUGCUGCAUGGCUGUCGUCAGCUCGUGUCGUGAGAUGUUGGGUUAAGUCCCUCAACGAGCGAAACCCCUGCCGUUAGUUGCCAUCGGGUAAUGCCGGGGACUCUAACGGGACUGCCGGUGUCAAACCGGAGCCCGCUGGGGAUCACGUCAAGUCAUCAUGGCCUUUAUGCCCAGGGCUUCACACGUGCUACAAUGGCGACCACAAAGCGAAGCGAAACCGCGAGGUCGGGCAAAUCGCAGAAAGGUCGUCCCAGUACGGAUUGCAGGCUGACAACUCGCCUGCAUGAAGGUGGAAUCGCUAGUAAUCGCGCAUCAGC